rnacentral:rRNA from 1 species
GACGAACGCUGGCGGCGUGCUUAACACAUGCAAGUCGAACGGAAAGGCCCUGCUUUUGUGGGGUGCUCGAGUGGCGAACGGGUGAGUAACACGUGAGUAACCUGCCCUUGACUGUGGGAUAACUUCAGGAAACUGGGGCUAAUACCGGAUAGGAGCUCCUGCUGCAUGGUGGGGGUUGGAAAGUUUCGGCGGUUGGGGAUGGACUCGCGGCUUAUCAGCUUGUUGGUGGGGUAGUGGCUUACCAAGGCUUUGACGGGUAGCCGGCCUGAGAGGGUGACCGGCCACAUUGGGACUGAGAUACGGCCCAGACUCCUACGGGAGGCAGCAGUGGGGAAUAUUGCGCAAUGGGCGGAAGCCUGAUGCAGCAACGCCGCGUGCGGGAUGACGGCCGUCGGGUUGUAAACCGCUUUCGCCUGUGACGAAGCGUGAGUGACGGUAAUGGGUAAAGAAGCACCGGCUAACUACGUG